ACCUUCUCGCCUCAGCCUCCUGAGCAGCUGGGACUACAGGUGCCAUGGUACAGAGCUCCUGUAGGAUAAAGACCCCUUGCCUGAGAAGCUCCUGCCUGAGCAUCCCGCUUAAGAUUGCUAUGUUCCAAGUGGAAAAGCUGGGAGCAGAAUCAGCUAGAAAAUUGUUCAGACUCAGCUUGUCUGGUAUUGGUCGAGUGGUGUCAUUUGGGCACACCCAAAUAAAUGGAGUCAUUUACUGAGGAGGGCUGAAAAAUGCCAUCAUCACUUGGACAGUCUUUUGAGAAAGUCUGGACUACAUCUUAGGUAAGUGUUCAGAAGGGUUUCAUGUACUGCUGGCUCUGAAACAGUGAAGGGCCUGAGAUGUCACCCUCCUUGUACAGUCACACAGACACACACAUACACAAG